rnacentral:rRNA from 1 species
UACGUAGGGUGCGAGCGUUAAUCGGAAUUAUUGGGCGUAAAGAGCUCGUAGGCGGCUUGUUGCGUCGACCGUGAAAACCCGGGGCUCAACUUCGGGCUUGCGGUCGAUACGGGCGGGCUAGAGUUCGGUAGGGGAGACUGGAAUUCCUGGUGUAGCGGUGAAAUGCGCAGAUAUCAGGAGGAACACCGGUGGCGAAGGCGGGUCGCUGGGCCGAUACUGACGCUGAGGAGCGAAAGCGUGGGGAGCGAAUGGG